AACGAACGCUGGCGGCAUGCCUAACACAUGCAAGUCGAACGAGACCUACGGGUCUAGUGGCGCACGGGUGCGUAACGCGUGGGAACCUGCCCUUAGGUUCGGAAUAACUCCCCGAAAGGGGUGCUAAUACCGGAUAAUGUCUUCGGACCAAAGAUUUAUCGCCUUUGGAUGGGCCCGCGUUGGAUUAGCUAGUUGGUAGGGUAAAAGCCUACCAAGGCGACGAUCCAUAGCUGGUCUGAGAGGAUGAUCAGCCACACUGGGACUCAGACACGGCCCAGACUCCUACGGGAGGCAGCAGUGGGGAAUAUUGGACAAUGGGCGAAAGCCUGAUCCAGCAAUGCCGCGUGAGUGAUGAAGGCCUUAGGGUUGUAAAGCUCUUUUACCCGGGAUGAUAAUGACAGUACCGGGAGAAUAAGCUCCGGCUAACUCCGUG
rnacentral:rRNA from 1 species